CCUGCCGGCCCCCCCCGGGACCCGCCGGGACCGAUCGCCCCCUGCCGGCCCCCGCUCCCGCGCUGCCGGGACCAGCCCCGCACGGCGCAGCGCCCCGCGCCCUCUCCGCGCCUGAGGCCCAGCCGCCGCCGUCCCGCGCCCGGGGAGGCCCCCGUUUUGCUGGGAGCCGAGGCGUGGUGCUCCGGCUCCCGGGGCGACCCCCGAGGGCUGCUCGGUCCCUGGGCUGAUGCAGGAACGGAGAGACACCACUUAACAUGACGUAGGUGAGGACCCCAAUGCUCCAGAUGUCUGUGCUCAAGGAGACAGGAAGGCCUUGGAUAACUUCAGGAGCUGCAAAUUCCGGGUUUCCGAGGAGGUGGUGGACAUGGUAAUGACCUGUGAUCUGAACUGCAUCUUCCAAAUCAAUGAUCUUGACACGAGCUGAGCCAGGAUCAUCAUGACAAGCAUCUUUCUGUCAGAGCACAGCCAGAUGUAGCCUUCCCAGGAGCACAUGUAGGCUCUUCUACAUGUGCUGAGGAAGGGCUCAGGAAGACUGCAGGAGUUACCACCUCUGCCCGUGAGAUGAGAAAAAGCCCAAUGAUAUGGGUAUUGCAAGACGGUGAGGGCUUGUUCUGCUCGACUCCCGUUACUACCACAGUGACAGAGACAUCUGGUUUCACAAGGUACCAUGAUGAACCUGACCAGAACUGCAGAAGCAUUGACCAGUGGCUACAAACAACCUCUAAAAACCUGCAGAUACAGGAAGCUCUAGUGACAACUGAACAAGCCUGUGCACGGCUGGGAAAGUAAAUGGAAGCUACAGCUUCUUGAACUCUGAUGAAGCAUCACAGAUAACAGCCACAGCACUAAGGCUGAGGAGGGUGCACAUGCUUUCUCUUUGCUUGGGUGAUAAUGCUCAAGCCAUUAAUUCUUCCCAGAGGUGGUUUGUGCCCCCCUGCCCCAGCUCCAGACCCACAUCACACAGCACCUGUAGCCACCACGCACCUGGGGCAUCUCACCAGCACUCUGGCCACUAACGAGCUUUGGGGAGAUGUCUUUUAACUUCUGCUCAGCUUCAGGAGAAAAAGCAAAGCACUAAAUCAGAAAUACUGCGUUCUUUUUGGCUACUGGCAAGUGUCAGUCCUGCAGCAACUCGUGGACCUUCACAACAACUAAAAUUUUACUCAUUUCAUUGGACUACUGAAAACUUGAAAGUAGUUUUGGAUAACUCUCAGUUAUCUAACUAGUUCGAUAACUCUCAAUUUAUCUAGCUAGUUAAUUGAUCAAGUUAGCAAAUCUUGAAAAGCUACUGUCUCUCCAUGGCCUAUAUAUGCCAAGUACCUCACGCAACCUGGAAGCAAAGUUGAGAAAAGCAAAGACAAUGCCACUAAAUUCUUACACACAGCAUCAACCCUAACUACAUAGUGGUGUACAACAGUAUAGAGGUUUUAGCCUCAUUAACUAGUUUAAUAAUCUCAUAAGGCCUUGUUAUCCAAAAUCAAACUAAAACUUUUAUAUCAAGCACCAUAAACACCAGUGUGGUUUAUCUUACCUUAAAUAUCUUUGUUACUAUCUGUUUCUAUGCCAAUGAAGCAGUGACCUAAUUUGUGGCUUGCCAAAGCUGAUGGGAUGUAUUGCAGAGCCUCAGAAACCAGGCCACAAUGCAGAAGCAGUAACCCUUCAAAAUAACAUAGCUACGUCUCCAAGAUUUAUAUUUAUAUUUUGGCUUUAUAAAUAGUUUUCCAAGGUGAACGGCUCAGGGUGCCAUUCGAGGAGGCACUUGAGCAUAUUCAGGUUCAUUUCAGUUUCAUAGCCCUUCUUCAUAGCCCUGGGCAAACCUCUGGUACCAGUACUGAGACCUCAGGGUCUGCUUUCCCCUGUCACCACCAGAAAGCUCAAAUGAACCAGGCAUAACAUGGACUCACCACUCAGAAAGGUUCAUUUUUUUUCCCCAUAGAAACAUACCUUACAUCAACAAAUACCUUGCCAUCUGAGACUGAGACUAUCCUUUGCCCUAGCAAUAGGCAGAAUUCGAUCCUUUGGGACACAUCUACAGCGAACACAACGUUCACAGUACCGGCUCAAACAACUGGUCAAUGCCACUGCUUUACACUCUGCACUCCACAAACGAGUAGGGGCUGCUGCUUGUCGGCAGAGCAGGUUUCAGCCCCUACCAUGUAGCCAGUCAGUCUUAAAGGUCUGUAUCUGGUGGGCAAAAGUGUGAUGGUUUGGACUCUCACAUGAUCCUAAGAGCACUGAGAAUUCAAAUGUUUCAUUCCCAGCAUCCUGGAAGGAGCCAACCUCUGACUACAUCCCUGGAGAGGACUCUUUGAGCACUAUUAUUAUAAUUAGGGCUUCUUAUAUUUUAAAGCCAUGUUGGGGGCACCUCUAAGGUGGGGAGGGUGCAGGACAGCAUGCCACCCCCAUGAUGGCAUGGCUUGGCUUGGCAGGCAGGAACCUGAGCAGGUAAGAGAGCCAGACAGAUCUUCCUCCUCCUGGCUGCACCUCCUGGCCGCACCUCCUGGCCUUGGUUUCACUUGCAAAGCCCGAAGCCCCAUCUGAAGGGUACAGCUGGGGCACCAACGCCAGGAUGUGGACCUCUGGCCAGCCACCCUGAGAGCCUCUGAGAGGGUCCAGGACCUACAUAUGGCCCCCUGGAUCCCCUGGGCAGGAAGAAAUUGGGGCGCAAGAGGGCACUGGAUGAAGAAGAACAUCUCUCCCACCUGUGCAUGUGGAAAAGGAGAGAUGGAGCUUCAUGAUUAAGUUGUAUUACUCACACAGCACAGCAAAGGAAAAAAAUCUGUUCUGUGGAUAACCACUGCUUGUCACUUUUCACUCAGUGAGACCAUCUUAUCAGCUAAGUAACCCCAGGCAUCAGCUCAUUUGCACAUACAUUGUCAUUUUUCUAGCUUUUGUCUUAACUGGAAUACAACUCUAUCCUCUCAAGCUCUCCCCUUUCUUCCCUGCAGCAUGCACUAAAUUCCGUUUUUAUUCACUGAUUUCCAUCCUUGUAGGAUUAGAGACUGGGAGAAAGAAUGCUCUUAACACUUUGUAUUAAUGUUAUAACUCUAAAGGAUUCAUUAGAAGAUGCAGCUCCAAUGUUGAAUGUAAGAGAUAUAUCUAUAAAUAAAUAAUGCUACAUUUCUAAAUGACUUCCAAGGCACAAUAAUUUAUAAUAAUUGCCUUACCAAUGUUUUUUUCCCCUGGCUCACCAUGGGAAUAUCAGAAAGAAAAUUACCUCUGCUAGAUAAUAUUGGAAGACUCUAUGAGUAAAAUUUACAUUUCUUUUGCUAAAACUUAAUCUGUUAAUUAAUAAAAUGUUACCUAACAACACCCCCCAGCCAUGUUGCAGCUUUAGCCUGCUGUAAGCUUAGACAAAAAUAAAAGCCUAUUUGCAAAGGAAU